UUUUCCUACGGGGCGCAGCAGUGAGGAAUAUUGGUCAAUGGACGAGAGUCUGAACCAGCCAAGUAGCGUGAAGGAUGACUGCCCUAUGGGUUGUAAACUUCUUUUAUAUGGGAAUAAAAUGUUCCACGUGUGGGAUUUUGUAUGUACCAUAUGAAUAAGGAUCGGCUAACUCCGUGCCAGCAGCCGCGGUAAUACGGAGGAUCCGAGCGUUAUCCGGAUUUAUUGGGUUUAAAGGGUGCGCAGGCGGAGGUGCAAGUCAGCGGUCAAAUUGCGGGGCUCAACCCCGUACUGCCGUUGAAACUGCA
rnacentral:rRNA from 1 species